rnacentral:rRNA from 1 species
CAAUUUUCAGCGACGGAUAUCUUGGCUCGAGCACCUAUGAAGGGCGCAGCGAAGUGCGAUAAUCGUUGUGAAUUGCAGAACUCCGUGAACCAAUGGCCUCUUGAACGUGCAUUGCGCUCUUGGGAUAGGCCUGAGAGCAUGUCUGCUUCAGUG